CCUACGGGCGGCAGCAGUGGGGAAUAUUGGACAAUGGGGGCAACCCUGAUCCAGCCAUGCCGCGUGUGUGAAGAAGGCCCUCGGGUUGUAAAGCACUUUCAGUGAGGAAGAACGCCUGGUGGUUAAUACCCAUCAGGAAAGACAUCACUCACAGAAGAAGCACCGGCUAACUCCGUGCCAGCAGCCGCGGUAAUACGGAGGGUGCGAGCGUUAAUCGGAAUUACUGGGCGUAAAGCGCGCGUAGGUGGCUUGAUAAGCCGGUUGUGAAAGCCCCGGGCUCAACCUGGGAACGGCAUCCGGAACUGUCAAGCUAGAGUGCAGGAGAGGAAGGUAGAAUUCCCGGUGUAGCGGUGAAAUGCGUAGAGAUCGGGAGGAAUACCAGUAGCGAAGGCGGCCUUCUGGACUGACACUGACACUGAGGUGCGAAAGCGUGGGUAGCAAACAGGAUUAGAUACCCUGGUAGUC
rnacentral:rRNA from 1 species